UUGGAGGAUUUGAAGACUUCAACUUGCAACCUUAAAGAAUUUGAAGACUUCAACUUGCAUACUUAGAGGAUUUGAAGAAUUCAAAU
rnacentral:pre_miRNA from 1 species